CUACGGGUGGCAGCAGUGGGGAAUAUUGCACAAUGGGGGAAACCCUGAUGCAGCGACGCCGCGUGAGUGAAGAAGUACUCCGGUAUGUAAAGCCCUGUCAGCAGGGAAGAAAAUGACGGUACCUGACCAAGAAGCCCCGGCUAACUACGUGCCAGCAGCCGCGGUAAUACGUAGGGGGCAAGCGUUAUCCGGAUUUACUGGGUGUAAAGGGAGCGUAGACGGCAAGGCAAGUCUGGAGUGAAAGCCCGUGGCCCAACCACGGGACUGCUUUGGAAACUGUGUUGCUGGAGUGCAGGAGGGGUAAGCGGAAUUCCUAGUGUAGCGGUGAAAUGCGUAGAUAUUAGGAGGAACACCGGUGGCGAAGGCGGCUUACUGGACUGUAACUGACGUUGAGGCUCGAAGGCGUGGGGAGCAAACAGGAUUAGAUACACGAGUAGUC
rnacentral:rRNA from 1 species